UGACUAUGCAGCUCAUCAGACAGCACAAAUAGUCAGCAGUAGCAAGAAGCAUUGAGCCAGUUCUGGAGAUGAUCUGUAUCAGUCCAAGACUCCUUCCUGCAGCCAAACCAUCCAUCUCUGCUAGGUGGAAAGACAGCCUGGACACGCAGUGCUCAGACAGGCUUCUACAUACUCACACCCACAAGCAGGUUCCUUUACUUGGAGUUGAAUCCCACUCCCAGUUUACCAGAGUUGACUGCCCAGAAGCCUGUAGUGCUUGAAGAGGAUGUAAACACAAGAGCUGGAUGGGAACUUUUCAAUUAAAUGUUUUGCACCAGAAAAUGCUGUUUCAUUGAAACCAAAACUAUUCAAGGAAAUAUAACAGUAGUUGAAACUUUUGUUAGCAACAUCUUGGGGUUCAGAGUUACAUUUCUGAUCAAAUGGAGAAAGAGACAAACAGACUGAUAAUCUCAAUGCACAGGACUGAGCAUUACCUGAGUUUGAUUCCUCUCACCAGGUGAGUAAAUACAUCACUGCCUUAACAAACAGUUUCUCUCUUUUCCCUGAUUUUUUUUUUCUAAAAAAUUUCAAUAGCCUUUUAAUCAUCAGUGUAACUAAAAUAACUGCUAACAUCUCAAAACAUUUUGCAAGCUAAAAUUCUUAUUUCCAGCUAGUCCAACUAAGAGCCAAAUGUAUGAGUGUUCUUGGGACACCUGUUCAACUCCCACUCCAGAAAGCUUCAAGCAUAUGAGAGAUUAGAACAAAAGUAUGCACUGAAGAAAUUACCACAGAGAACACCAAUAUAGGUUCUUGAAACAGGUCUCUGUGACUCAGAGUGGCUAAACAUUGUCAUCCUUUGUUUUUGGAAAUGUCCAAAACUGACCUUCGUCAAGUAGUUACCCAGUGGUGGUUUUGGGCAGAUAAUCUAAAGUAAUCUCUUCAGGGCAUUCAAGUAUGAGAUAUACCACACUUGGGAGUCAGAAAGUAUCCAGUGUAGUGCACGAGUUGUUAGCAAGCAAACUCAAGGGGAUCUUCCUGAUCCUAGGAAGAAAGCACCACUGAUGGGUGGUAUUGAACACCCAGUCACCAGAGCCUGGCGCCCUUAGCACUGAAAGGCAUCCCACCACCCAUGAAAAGCCAUGCCACCACAACCAUGCUCAUUUUAAAAGAGUUUGGGGAUACACUUGACUGUGCAUCUUCCCUCAUUAGCUUUGUAGGUUGUAUUCUCUCUUCCUAAAUAAAUAAAAUGAGAAAGCAUGCACAACAAAAGCAGAAGGUUUAAGAUACCAAAAAAAAACUUCUAUAAUACUUAAGCCAGUUACUUGUAGAUUCAUGAUCUGACAAAUCUCUUUUCCCAGACUGGGAAUCCUGACUUAGGAAGUACUGUGACUAGGGUGAUAUGGAUUUUGAAGACCACUGGUGAAUAAGUCUGACUCUUACAAACAUAGUGAUGUUUUCAGAAAAUACAACAGCUUUACCUAUUAUCAAAACAACAGAGCUUUGUUAAGUUUUAGCCAAAUUUCUCAGUUUACAUUUGCAAGGAAGUUGCAUCUUCUGCAGCUGAGAAAGUGUGACCCAACACUCCUGUAUUGCCUUUGGUCAGCUCUUGCAUAAGGAGAGCCGAAUGGCACAUCUCUGCAGAACCCAGGUCAUGGAGGAUCUACCAACAGGAAAUUAACCAUCAGUUUAAUGCAAGCCCCUUGUGGCUUGUCAGUGGAGGUAGGCAGGUAGAAUAUGAUUGGUGAUCACAAUGGCUGAUGAUAGACUGGGGAGACCCAACAUUGACACCCGGCCGUUAUCCAUCAUAGCUCUGACUGCUGUCUUCUGAUUACUAGGGGGCUGAAUUAUUGAGCAGAUCUAAUUCAUGGCAAGCUGCCACUUGUGUUCCUGGGAAGGGCGAAUAUAAUGAGAAACAAAUGCCUUGGCUACAAUUUUGUACUGUCUCCAAGUCUCUCCCAUUGUGCUUCCCUGCUGGGUAAGAAAAGGCAGAGGGGAGAUUUAGCUGCAUGGCGAAUGGCUUUGCAUGGCAGUGACAGGUAUUCAGAG